rnacentral:rRNA from 1 species
UCCGUAGGUGAACCUGCGGAAGGAUCCCUA